CUCUCGGCAAUGGAUAUCUCGGCUCUUGCAUCGAUGAAGAACGUAGUGAAUGCGAUACUGGUGUGAAUUGCAGAAUCUCGUGAACCAUUGAGUCUUUGAACGCAAGUUGUGCCCGAGGCCUUGUGGUCGAGGGCACGCCUGCUUGGGUGUCAUGAC
rnacentral:rRNA from 1 species